UUUGGAUCAUGGCUCAAAACGAACGCUGGCGGCGUGCCUCCCUUUGCAAGUCGUACGUGAAAGUCUUCGGAUGAGUAAAGGGGCGCACGGGUGAGUAACACGUAGGUGACCUGCCUUUUAGAGGGGGAUAACCAAAAAAAAUUUUGGCUAAUACCGCAUACGAAGUACAAAUCUUAAAGUAGUACUUGAAAAAAUGCCUCUGUAUAUGCAUUUACUAAACGAUGGGCCUGCGGGGCAUUAGCUAGUUGGGGAGGUAAUAGCUUACCAAGGCAACAAUGCAUAUCCGGUCUGAGAGGAUGAUCGGACACCCUGGAACUGAAACCCGGUCCAAACUCCUACGGGAGGCAUCUUUGGGGAAUAUGGCGCAUUGGGGAAAACCCUGACCCGCCACCGCCGCGUGAGUGAGGAAGGACUUCGGUCCGAAAAGCUCUGUAAUUGUG
rnacentral:rRNA from 1 species